GAUGAACGCUGGCGGCAUGCCUAAUACAUGCAAGUCGAACGAGAGGAAGGAAAGCUUGCUUUUCUGAAUCUAGUGGCGAACGGGUGAGUAACACGUAGGUAACCUGCCCAUGUGCCCGGGAUAACUUCUGGAAACGGAUGCUAAAACCGGAUAGGUAGCAGACAAGCAUUUGACUGCUAUUAAAGUGGCUAAGGCCAUGAACAUGGAUGGACCUGCGGUGCAUUAGCUAGUUGGUGAGGUAACGGCCAACCAAGGCGACGAUGCAUAGGCGGCCUGAGAAGGCGGACGGCAACAGUGGGACUGAGACACGGCCCAAACUCCUACGGGAGGCAGCAGUAGGGAAUUUUCGUCAAUGGGGGGAACCCUGAACGAGCAAUGCCACGUGAGUGAGGAAGGUCUUCGGAUCGUAAAGCUCUGUUGUAAGAGAAAAACGACAUUCAUAGGGAAUGAUGAGUGAGUGAUGGUAUCUUACCAGAAAGUCACGGCUAACUACGUGCCAGCCGCCGCCGUAA
rnacentral:rRNA from 1 species